UACGAAGGGGGCGAGCGUUGUUCGGAAUUACUGGGCGUAAAGGGCGCGCAGGCGGCUCUGAAAGUCAGAUGUGAAAGCCCCGGGCUUAACCUGGGAACUGCGUUUGAUACGGCAGGGCUAGAGUUCGGGAGAGGAGAGUGGAAUUCCCAGUGUAGAGGUGAAAUUCGUAGAUAUUGGGAAGAACACCGGUGGCGAAGGCGGCUCUCUGGACCGAUACUGACGCUGAGGCGCGAAAGCGUGGGGAGCAAACAGG
rnacentral:rRNA from 1 species